CUGCUGUUCGGUGUAUAAUGUUUGUACUGUAGUCUUGGCCACUUCUGCCUUGUGCCUUCGUCGAGGAAAGGUGGAUGCAAGUUCUGUGCGAGUUUGAAGUGUGUUUUAAUAAAGAAAUAGUGCGCUGUAGUGGGACAUACGCCCAAUCAAGGAACAACAGUGUUACAUUUAACUGAUUGCGGUGCAGCUGUCCUGUGUGUGGGAGGAAGCAGCUUUGAGUAUUCAGAAAGUUUGGUGCAGCAGUUAUCCUGUGUGCUUGCCUGUGUAGGAGGAAGCUGCUUUGAGUAUGCAGAAUGGUGAGUUUUUAUAUGCAAACUUUUACAAUUAUAUAAUAUCUUAGGAACUAUUUCACCAAAUUCAAUGGAAUAAAGAAUACAAUUGAUCAUAAUGAAGUAUAUGAGUUAUAUAUAACUGAUAUAAAAGGCCAUUAAAAUAAAAAUUUACAUACACAAA